UCCCAUACAUUUCGGUUUCUGGUGCGGUUUAUUUGAAAAUCGAUCGACCCAAUUAGGAACUAGCUAACCGUUUCACUAUUAUUAUGAGGACUAACCCGGAUCUACCCGGAGAGUCCUUCGGUUCUUCGGGUUUGUGUAUAGCUCGGUCAAAAGUGAUUUCGAAAAUACGGCUACAUGUAAAUUACCAAAAAUGACCUUUUUACCU